rnacentral:rRNA from 1 species
UACGUAGGGCGCAAGCGUUGUCCGGAAUUAUUGGGCGUAAAGAGCUCGUAGGCGGUUUGUCGCGUCUGCUGUGAAAACCUAAGGCUCAACCUUGGGCUUGCAGUGGGUACGGGCAGACUAGAGUGCGGUAGGGGUGACUGGAAUUCCUGGUGUAGCGGUGGAAUGCGCAGAUAUCAGCAGGAACACCCGUGGCGAAGGCGGCUUCCUGGAUCACCCCUGACGCUGAGACGCGAAAGCGUGGGGAGCGAACGGG